UACAGCCAUAUCACAUUGAAAUGCUGGUUCAUGUACAAUCACUGAAGUUAAGCAACAUCGAGCCUGGUCUGUACCUAGAUGGGUGACCACUUGAGAAUAUCAAGUGCUGUAA